rnacentral:rRNA from 1 species
CCUACGGGAGGCAGCAGUGAGGAAUAUUGGACAAUGGAGGCAACUCUGAUCCAGCCAUGCCGCGUGCAGGAAGACGGCCCUAUGGGUUGUAAACUGCUUUUAUACAGGAAGAAACGCCGCUACGUGUAGCGGUUUGACGGUACUGUACGAAUAAGGAUCGGCUAACUCCGUGCCAGCAGCCGCGGUAAUACGGAGGAUCCAAGCGUUAUCCGGAAUCAUUGGGUUUAAAGGGUCCGUAGGCGGAUGAUUAAGUCAGGGGUGAAAGUUUGCAGCUCAACUGUAAAAUUGCCUUUGAUACUGGUUAUCUUGAGUUGUAUUGAAGUAGGCGGAAUAUGUAGUGUAGCGGUGAAAUGCAUAGAUAUUACAUAGAACACCAAUUGCGAAGGCAGCUUACUAAGUACUAACUGACGCUGAUGGACGAAAGCGUGGGUAGCGAACAGGAUUAGAUACCCUGGUAGUCCACGCCGUAAACGAUGGAUACUAGCUGUUCGGGACCUUGAGUUCUGAGCGGCUAAGCGAAAGUGAUAAGUAUCCCACCUGGGGAGUACGUUCGCAAGAAUGAAACUCAAAGGAAUUGACGGA